CGGUGACGUAAUGACGUGGGCUGUUAAUCUAAUUAUGUUCUAAAACAUGUAAAACGGGAACAUGACAGGAGUACUCUAAAAGCGACUCAUUCCCAACAGUGUUUUCCUGAUGGCAGCUUCAGUGACACGAUCCUGCUGGUGGACCUCAGAGCGUCUAACACUGUUAAUGUCAAAAACGCUUCCUGGUACAUAACCGAAAGUCCGUUCAGUGGACUGGUGGCUGAAUGUCCAGGAAAUGGAAGAACUUAUAACCCUUUCAACAUGACAGCUCAGAGCUCCAACUGUUCCCCACUCACCUAUCUGGCGUGCGAGGUUGGAGAUCUGUCCAGCAAACUCGGCUCCGUCAGUUUAACACAAAGGCAGCUCUUUACAGAUGCGCAUCUUCAGCUGGCUGGAGACUACACAGUCGUUUACAGAAUGCUAGUUCUGAGGGCAGGAGACGAGACCAUCGAUUGUGCGGACAUCGUCCCUGUGUCACCGUCAGCACAGCAAAUCUUCCCGAGCAUAAAAUCCUUCAGCAGUUAUGAUUUCCGUAAAAGGGUGGCAGACGUUCUGGAGGUCCAAGUGUCCCGGGUGUCCAUCUUACCCGGUGCCCUCUCACCCAUUGCAGGAGGGAAGUGCCAGCAAGUCACCUUUCUUGUGUCAGGUGACAUGAGUUUGAAGAAGCUAUCUGCUGUGAAGGACAGCAGGAUGAUGGGCAUGUACAGGCAGACUGAAUGGUGUACGAAAAGUGGCGUACCUGGUCUUGGGUCUUCACAUACCGGAACCAUCCACGUCUUCUCCCUGGCCGCCGUUUACCUUCUCCACUCUCUCAUUCUGCACUGGAUGUCAGAGUGAGAUCAGCUGUGCUGAAUUUAUCCCCAGAGCUGCACGGAGGCUGCUUAACUCCAUAAGACUUGGUGUGAAUGAACUGUCUCGAUGGUCAACGUGCUCAAACCACUUUGAAUCAACUGCUGUAAAAUGAUACUAGAUAAAAAUGUUGUUUUACGAACCUUUGUUUUACUAUUACUGUCUGAACAGUACUUAGAACUUGACGGCAAUUCAUUUUCUAUUUACGUUAUAUUGUUCGCUGAUUUGAUACUGCCAAGUGAUUUAUGCCCAUGUGUUCACUGUAUAUCUGGUGAAAAUGACUUACUGUGUAUUUGUAUUUUUAAUGCUCGCAUGAUUGUAGAUAUCGCAUCCACCAGAUCCUAAAUGUCCUAGUAUAUGCUUUGUCGCCCUCAUUUGCGGUUCGAAUGAAUUGAUCGCGUAUUCAAUGAAGUAGAGUCGGAUUGAGCUUGCUCUGUACGUCCUCGGACAUGUUGCGCAGUUUCCAUUUAAGUUCCAUGUUGGUGAGAGCAAUUAAAUCGCUACUAGGAUGGUCUUGAAAUUUGUGAAAUUUAGCAUUUUUUUUUGGCAUGUAUAUAGUACAUAUUGGUGCUUAUCAAUAAUUCGAAAUAAAUAAAUAAACAGCCAGAUAGAUAGAUAGAUAUAUAGGUGGGUGGGGCUAAUUGUGAAUAAACCUUGCGUACGUCUGAUACCUAUAUUACACAUGCUUCACACAUAUAUAAGAUCCACUAUCCCCAUUUUCAUUGUUGACCUGAAAAAUCUUACAAAUUCCUGCCCUCUACUGCCCCCUAGUGCACAGGUUCCCAACCCUGGUCCAGGAACACAGGACAGGACAAGUGGUCCUACACAUUUUAGUGUUUUCCCUUCUUCCUACACAUUUGAUUCAACUAAUCAACUAAUUAAGAGCCCUUCCUGAGUUGAAGUGGCUGUGUUAGAGCAUUGAAAACACUAAAAUACACAGAACAUGGUGGUCUCCAGGACCAGGGUUGGAAACUUGAGCCACUUGCACAGUGGCAUGUCUGUUCAGGUGGUUCGGCUCGGAGUCUCAGACAGAGUGAUGUCAGUUAAGUGUGCUGUCAGUUAAGUGUGCUCGUUAGAAUAUUAGGCCACGCCCAUUCCAACCCUUCCCAGAUCAAUUCCUAAACGUCACUUUAGAGUUGCUUAGGAUUUGCGUAAAUGUCCGUUAUCUUUGGCUUCUUCCCAUUCAUGGAUCAUUUUUAAGUAAGAAAUAACACACAUCAAACCACGCCUGUUAAUAUGAAAAGAAUGCACGCCAGAGGAGUGUGAUACAUCAGGACGCACAAGCGGAGUGUAUUGUUUUCGUAUAACAACAUGGUCCGGAGUGUAAACGAGUUGUUAGCUUAUUCACGUUACAGCAAAAGGAAUUACAGUUUGAGUUGUGCUGUUAUACGAAAAUCGGACCAAUCAGAUUUGAGAAUUCAAGCAAGUCGCAGGAUAAAGGCCGUUCACUCUAUAUGCCCGCUACAUAGGGUCUUAACAUACAACAAUGAUGUUAGGGGAGGCUGUUUGGGGAUAAAAUGUCUACCUUGACGGAUAGCAUUAAUAACCUCCCUGUGAUAUCACUUUUAGGACUUAUUUCAUGUAAAAAUGUUUACAUUAUUUAAAAACGAAAAGGAAAAAAAGAAUGAAAUCAAAUGUGCCCUAUUUUAAAUACAUACAGAGCCCUUCAGCAACAUUAAACAAAAUGGAUAGAUAG
ensembl:lncRNA